AGCGAACGCUGGCGGCAGGCCUAACACAUGCAAGUCGCACGAACCUUUCGGGGUUAGUGGCGGACGGGUGAGUAACACGUGGGAACGUGCCUUUAGGUUCGGAAUAACUCAGGGAAACUUGUGCUAAUACCGAAUGUGCCCUUCGGGGGAACGAUUUAUCGCCUUUCGAGCGGCCCGCGUCUGAUUAGCUGGUUGGUUGAGGUAAUGGCUCACCACGGCGACGGUCAGUAGCUGGGCUGAGAGGAUGAUCAGCCACAUUGGGACUGAGACACGGCCCACACUCCUACGGGAGGCAGCAGUGGGGAAUCUUGCGCAAUGGGCGAAAGACUGACGCAGCCAUGCCGCGUGAAUGGUGAAGGUCUUAGGAUUGUAAAAUUCUUUCACCGGGGACGAUAAUGACGGUACCCGGAGAAGAAGCCCCGGCUAACUUCGUG
rnacentral:rRNA from 1 species